ACUUAAAAUCCGUUGGCUUUUUAGACCGUGAGGGUUCAAGUCCCUCUACCCCC
rnacentral:tRNA from 5 species